rnacentral:lncRNA from 1 species
GGAGUAUUCAUUUAAAAUCCCACUUGCACUUAUUGACAAUUAUAGGCAGGAUUUGUGGAUUUCAGCCAAGAUACUGAGGGUCGCUUACGCCCUGGCUCUGUGGCUAAACCAUAAAGACUUCUGUAGAUGAGGAGAAGAAGGUAUGGAUGUGUCAUCUGGCUUGGAGAGAGGUCCUCGACAAAGCCAGCUAACAUUGGACGUGAACAGAAAUGCACUGCUGAAGAAACAAUCUGUUUAUGCCACAGAGUUAAGUUGUGAUAAAAUGUGCAUGUUCCUGUCCCCUGUCUUACCAAUCCCGUUAAUGUAG